rnacentral:rRNA from 1 species
AGAGUGAACGCUGGCGGUAGGCCUAACACAUGCAGGUCGAACGGCAGCACAGUAGGAGCUUGCUCUUACGGGUGGCGAGUGGCGGACGGGUGAGGAAUACAUCGGAAUCUACCUUUUGGUGGGGGAUAACGUAGGGAAACUUACGCUAAUACCGCAUACGCCCUUCGGGGGAAAGCCGGGGACCAGCAAUGGCCUGGUGCUGAUAGAUGAGCCGAUGUCGGAUUAGCUAGUUGGUGAGGUAAUGGCUCACCAAGGCGACGAUCCGUAGCUGGUCUGAGAGGAUGAUCAGCCACACUGGAACUGAGACACGGUCCAGACUCCGUACGGGAGCAGCGAGUGGGGAAUAGUUGGACAAGUGGGCGCAAGCCUGAUCCAGCCAUACCGGCGU